GUAGACAUAGUUUUAACACAAAACAUUAGAUUGUGAUUCUAAAAAUAGGGGUUCAACCCCCCUUGUCCACC
rnacentral:tRNA from 1 species